AGCGAACGCUGGCGGCAGGCCUAACACAUGCAAGUCGAACGGACCCUUCGGGGUUAGUGGCGGACGGGUGAGUAACACGUGGGAACGUGCCUUUAGGUUCGGAAUAGCUCCUGGAAACGGGUGGUAAUGCCGAAUGUGCCCUUCGGGGGAAAGAUUUAUCGCCUUUAGAGCGGCCCGCGUCUGAUUAGCUAGUUGGUGAGGUAAUGGCUCACCAAGGCGACGAGCAGUAGCUGGUCUGAGAGGAUGACCAGCCACACUGGGACUGAGACACGGCCCAGACUCCUACGGGAGGCAGCGGUGGGGAAUCUUGGGCAAUGGGCGAAAGCCUGACGCAGCCAUGCCGCGUGAAUGAUGAAGGUCUUAGGAUUGUAAAAUUCUUUCACCGGGGACGAUAAUGACGGUACCCGGAGAAGAAGCCCCGGCUAACUUCGUGCCAGCCGCCGCAGUAA
rnacentral:rRNA from 1 species